CGUUGCGUCAGCUGUGGGGGCGUGGCCAGUGGAAUCCAGAAACUUCCUGUUUUGUGGAUCACGCAACGCUCCGGCAAAUUGCAGGACAAGAGUUUUGUCACGUAUGAUCAGAUUCUGUGGAAAACAGCUCUUAAUACAAAGGAAAUCAAUAAACGGACAACUUUAACAUGAAAAUGUAGGUUGUUUUAAAAUGAAAAAGCAGUAAUAGACUAUUAAAUUAUAAUUUACACAAAUAAUUUUAAAACAGUGGUAAUUCUCCAUGUAAUAUAUUCAGCAUCAUUUUAAACCUAAAUUUGUUUUUGUUUUUUCCCAAAUUGUCAGGCCUUCAAUGACUAUAGAUUCUCUCUCUUUUUAUAUUUAUAGUUUUCCUAGAAUUUGAACUUUAAUCUCAAAACCUUUUAUUAAAUAGAUUUAUACCUUUAAACUUAAAAUUCUGACUCUAAUCCCAAACUUUAUACUUUGUGUCCAGAUUUCAAAAAUAUUUCUAAACUUUAUUCUUCAAAAUCCUAUCUUUAGCUCUUAAAUUCAAAACAGUUUUUCAGAAAUUUGACUUUUAUUAUUGCGACUUUUUGUUUGUUCUGAGAUAUUCUGGCAUCUUUUUGUAUUAAUUGUCAAAACCCCUUCAUGGCAAUAUAUAGAAAAUAUUCCUCAGUGUUUUAUCCAUUCAAGAUGAUACUAAAUUAAUUGGAGUCCUGGAUUAAAUUGUAUAAUUAGUGACACAUAGCGUGACGGGAUUCAUUUUAAGAUUUGAGGGUUUAGAGUUUAAAGACAUUGAUAUUUGUAUUUAGACUCCUCCAGUUUUCUGGUAUUUUUUUCAACUCUGAAAAGUCAGAAUUUCCUCAUUUAAUCAUUUUAAAUUAUAUUUGCAUAUACAUGUGUAUAUAGAGACAUAAAUCAAUGGUUCAUAAUAAUAAGGCACUUAUUACAAAACUGUCUUUGAUGCUGUUCUGAUGUUAAACUGCUUCAGUUGGUGGAAAAUUCCAUCUCUGUUGUUUUGAUCAGUCAUGUUUUUUUAAUGGAUGCUGUACACCUUUUACUCAUCUAUAACACUUAUAACAAAUACAUUUCUGUCAUCUUUUUACCAUAACUGUUUGUAUUACAUUUUAAAUAUAUCGUUUAGGUUAAGUAACUUUUUUUUUUUUUUUUGUUGUGUCACAAACUUGAAACCAAAGUAACGCGUCUGAGUAGAAGAUGUAAAUAUACCUGGUUAUGACUCACUGCAGGUCAUGUGUGCUCAACUGAAUAGAAAUGACUGUCUGUCUGGAAAGCUUUUUUUUUUUUUUUAAAGUCAAUCAUUAAUCUGCAAGAAGCUCGGAUGUAGAUGAAAAAAAAAGAAGAAUAUGAUGGAUUAUCAUCUGUAGAAACAAAUUCAUGGAAGACGAGGACGUAGGAACUGUACCAGUGAAAGGUUCCUUUCAGUUUUGUGGCUGCAGGGACUUUCAUAUUUGAUUUGAUGCGUUUCCUUGGAGCUUGUGGCUUCAGCGUGAAUCCUGCUUUACUCAGUGUUGGGGCACAAACACACCUGCAGGAAUUUCAGGGGAAUAUCUUUUCCCCUCCUAAGUAUUGCUUCAUACUCAGAGAUGCGUCACGGUUAAUUAUGUUAUCAGGAGCCGCUCCAUGACUGAUGAACUCCUUUAAUACCUUUUUCUUUUUUACCUUUGAUUUUAUUUAACUUAAAGUUUUUUUUCCAUCUGGGAUGAAUUUGAUGGAGUUCAACUUUUGAUAUAGUCAAGGUUUCUCUAAACUAAAUAAAAAAAGAUGUGUUUGUCUAAAAAUAAAAAUGCGUUUCUUUGUCAGGCACGGAGGAGGAAGUAUUAUGGUUCUACAAUCUGUGGAGUUUGUGACUUGUACAGAGAGAAGUGUGGUGUUCUCUUCCGUACCAUCCUUCAGCUUCAUGAGGGAAAACCCUGAGAUGUUCAGGGACCGUCGGGGAUUCAAAAUCAAAACUAAACGUCUAACCUAGAAGCAACAUGAGGAGAUCAGUACAGUUUGUGUUUCUGGACAUUUCUGCAACAGAAUGAAGAACAAAAACCGUCUCAGCUGUUAAAAUGUCAAAAGAAACAGCAAAAAAAAACAGUUAAAUGUUUGAUUUCAGAUGAUAAAAAGACAUGAAAAUGUGUUAUAUUUCAUUGAAACCUUGAAAGUUCUGGAGUUCCAAAUCUCUGGUCCAGAAGUUUGGAACAUUAUUGUUGAUAUUAAGGAUUUAUGAUAAUAAUAGUUGAGUAGAACACAGGUCCCACAAAUACAUGUUUGUCCUAACGCCAUUGUGUAUAAGCGGAUCCUGAACUGCUCAGGAGACACCUGAGUCACUCACCUGAGAAAUCUCCUGACUGUGACGUCACAGCCGACAGCCAAUCACAGACGAGCUGCUGGUUGCCACCAAGCAGGAUGUGUGAUUUCACAGAAGCUAGAGGGGAAUCACAGUGUGAAGUGAUUCUGUAGUUUUGAAUUCUUGGAAAAGGUGGAAUAUUUUUGCAAGUUUCUUUUUUUUAAUGUUAUUUUGUUUUAUUUCUGUUGAUGCAGAUGAUUCAGUUUCAAGCUGUUAAUCUGGUUGCUGGGAUUCUGUUAAACCCAGAGAGAUUAUUCGCCUGCACAUCUCCACCAGAUUAGAUGACUGGAACAUUCAGUAAAGGUGCUGUAAAGCAGCUGCCGAUCCUCCAGAACACCUGACUGAAAGCAGGAAGUGAGACCACAUCAGACCGGCCUUCAGCACCAGGUCCACGUGAAGCAGCUCAGACUGAAGCUCAGGAACAGACCUGCUGAUGGCCAGAGGCACAAACAUGGAGGAGCAUCUCCUCAGCUUCAUGCAGCUCAAACCAGAAAAAGUCACCUUGGUGAUGAUAGACAAACCUUCACUCUGACCCGAUGUGUAUUUGAGAACUGGACUGAGUGACCCCUCCCUCCAGGUAUUCCAAACAGGAAGUACUGGCUGGCAUUAAGAGGCCAAAAUCCAAUAGACUUCUAUAGAGAAGUAAAACGCUCUUACUCGGUCAUUCUAUUUGUCAGAAUAUCCAUUCUUACUCUGCUACCUUUUUUCUUUUACAUGUUCUUGAUAAUCCUCUUUUUUUCCUGCAAGUUAUUCAAGUCAUAAACUGACCAAUCGGAAGCCUCAAUAAAAGCAUGCGGUCUCUCAUGCUUUCAAGUUGGGGGUUUGGAUUUCCGACGAGCUCACUUCUGAUUGGUGAGAGUAGUUGCCAUAGAAACUUUGACUUGGACCAAUCGCUGCUCACUGAUGUCGUCUGGCUCUAACAUGGCGGCGUCUAUAUUGUGGGGGGAAAAAAUGGCGACUGAAUCGACUUCAUUUGAUUGGAGAUUUGCUUUGUGUGGGUGACGUCACUCUCACUCAGUCCAGGUCUCAUAUACAGUCACUGGUCCAGACCAAAAACGGCUCUUCGUGUGUGACGGCUGAAAGGAUUUAACUGACCGUAAAUUUUCUUUCAUGGUUUUACUGUUUUAUUUACUUAUAGUUAAUCUUUUUUUUUUAUGUAAAGCAAUUUGAAAGGACGUGUACAUGCAUGACACCUGACGGCCUUCAGCAGACGCUUCAAUCCAGGAAAAUGUCCAGAUGAGAGCAUCAGGCUGUCCAACACGGAUCCAUCAGUCAGUCUGUUCAACCAGAGAGAUGCAGUGAAACAUACGCAUUUUUGUCCUGGGUCACCUGCUUUUGGCUCUCAGACAAACCUGAUCAUGUUACCGUUCCGACAUGCUGUUGUGGAGCCGCGGAGGAACAGGUCUGACCUGCAGGAGUCACCUGACAGCCUCAACGUGGCACGUCUGCAACCACGAGGUCGCCUUUCAUCUUCCAAUCCUAAUCUGAUGAAGGCGAGCUUUGAUCACGAUGCUGUUGUUCUGGUCAUGAUCAAUUUCUGUGAAUUGUGUCAGACGUUUGAGUCCGAUCUAUCUAUAAGACACAACGUUUCAUUAUGAGGUCGAUCUUUAAUGUGUUGGUAUAUUUGUAAACUUCUUCCUCUGCUGUUUUUCCUGGUUUGAACUUUCUUCUUUCUCUGUAGUUCAGCUGAAGGUCUGGAUGAAAUGUGAUCUGCCUUCAGGUGUUUAUUUUGGUCAAAUGUUGAGAUUUUGCCAAAAACAGGUGAAAAAUUCACCAUUUCUUCCCUUUUUCCUCACUCAUAUUUAAAAGAAAGUACAUCUCAUUGUGAAUUUUUUCCUGUUUAGUGUCUAAACUUAGUUUAAAGCAGAGAAUGGUGAUGUUUAAUUUGCCUUUAAUUGCUUUAUCCUCGAUAAAUGUGUUAAUUAUUUGUCAUCCUUAUUGAGUCUAAGGAGUUCAAUUAUUUCUUAAUUUAGAUUUCCUAAACAUGGUGGAUUGGAUGUAUUUUGGGGGGAAAACUGUGGAUAAACGUGUAAUUUUAUAAAACAAUGUUAUUUUAUUUUAUUUUUAAGUGUAAAAUUUGUUUUAAAUGGAUGUGUUUGGGCUAAAAAUUGAGUCUUUUUAGUUUUAACUUAACCUUUUGUUGCUGUUUCUAUUCUCUCUUGAUGUGUUUUGGCAAAUCAUUAAAUAUUUGGUUUGACAAUUAAAGAU